rnacentral:rRNA from 1 species
UACGUAGGUGGCGAGCGUUGUCCGGAAUUACUGGGCGUAAAGGGUGCGUAGGCGGCAGAUAAAGUCCGAUGUGAAAACCCAGGGCUCAACCAUGGGAUUGCAUUGGAAACUAACCUGCUAGAGUACAGGAGAGGGGAGCGGAAUUCCUAGUGUAGCGGUGAAAUGCGUAGAUAUUAGGAAGAACACCAGUGGCGAAGGCGGCUUUCUGGACUGAUACUGACGCUGAUGCACGAAAGCGUGGGGAGCGAACAGGAUUAGAUACC